UCUCUCUCUCUCUCUCUCUCUCUCUCUCUCACAAACAUUCCAUCAUGUAAAGAGUUCUGGCUUUUCUUCCUGCUUCAAUUCUUGGGCUUGGGAGGAACUUGCAACCCUUUUUCAAGCUCAAGACUGGACUUCUGGAGGCCAUCUUUGCUCAAGUUGCAAGCUAACUAGCUAGCUGGAUAUGGUUAUAUAAAGAUGAAUAGUGAGUUACAUGUCGAUCUCUGAAGUGCAGAACGUAUAUACCAGUGAGAA